rnacentral:ncRNA from 1 species
ACUGGCUUGUGGCAGCCAAAUGUCCACAGGGACCUUACUUUUGAUCCUUUUGCGUGGAGUCUUCUAUCAUUGCGAUGCAGAAUUACCCGAGCAAUGGAUUGUUCACCCACUAAUAGGGAACGUGAGCCGGGUUUAGACCGUCGUGAGGCAGGUU